rnacentral:lncRNA from 1 species
CUAAUAUGAAAAUAACUUCAAGAAAUUUAGAUUAUUUUCCAUAAUAAGUUAAUCUAAAUGAUAUAUUUUGGUUUCAAUUGUACAACAAAGUCAUUUGCUAAACGUGAUACAUAUAGUCGCUACAACACAAAAAAUGUUGAUUAAAAGUAUAGGUUGUUCUAAGCACAAAGCUAAUUUAUCUUCAUCGUGUAGCAAACAAAAGAACAUAUGCAGUUCUAGGUGUCAACAAAUCCAGCUUGGCCUCCCGUUCAUGCAUUGGACAAUCACGCUAGAUUGCAUAUGUCGUAGCUUUGUUGAGGGUUGCAACAAUCGUCUGCAAUUCAAUGUUCAACUCUGAUGAAGUAUACUCUAUGCGUAAGAGACUUAAUGGACAAAAAUAUGAAUAUCAAAUUAAAGAUUGCAAUCACAAGCCUUAUAAAAAAAUUCCCUUUGAAUGGCAAAGGAUCGAGUAUUGAUAUGUGGAGGGGUAGAAGAGACCCACUCUGGAUGCUCGAUACAUAGUCUCAUCCUAACAAUUUACUUACCAUGUUCAAUUGUGUCAAUCCAUAGACAUCAUAAACAUGCGAUUUUGCUGCCUAAAUUGAAAAAUUAUGAUCCAACUGAGCUUCAUCAUCAUAGGGUGUCACAUCAAUCAUUUUUGUUACAUAUAACUUGGUUGAGAAGAGACUCGUAGCAAAUGUUAAUCGCAUAUUAUAUAUUUGCACCAAAUAGAUGAUGCAUCACCUCAGAUAACAAUAGUAUUCCGAAUGAAGCAUUUAAAUGAAUGAUUUAAUCAGGGGCAACCUAUGAAGCAGUCGCCCCCUGCUAGAUUUUCAAAUUCAAAUUUUUAGAUUUUUUUUGUUUUGUUUCUUUUUCAAUUCAUUUGAAAUAUUUUUUUAUGUAAUUGUGUCUCGCCUACAUUGAACCGUAAUCCUGGAUCCGUCUCUGAAAUUAAUCACCUCAAAAGGGGCAUGUGGAAGAGGUUAUGCGAAAUGAAAUAUCAAAAUUGCGUGACCUUUUUACUUAAUUGGUGGUCACGUGAUCUACCUCGUACUUAAGGCAUAAUCGAGGCACCUAUUCCAAUUGCGGGAUGAUGAUUAUUUGGAAGAAGAAG